UUUGGGGGCGAUAGCGAAGAGGUCACACCCGUUCCCAUGCCGAACACGGAAGUUAAGCUCUUCAGCGCCGAUGGUAGUCGGGGGUUUCCCCCUGUGAGAGUAGGACGCCGCCAAGC
rnacentral:rRNA from 1 species